UGGGGAAUAUUGCACAAUGGGCGAAAGCCUGAUGCAGCAACGCCGCGUGAGUGAUGAAGGCCUUCGGGUUGUAAAGCUCUGUCUUUUGGGACGAUAAUGACGGUACCAAAGGAGGAAGCCACGGCUAACUACGUGCCAGCAGCCGCGGUAAUACGUAGGUGGCAAGCGUUGUCCGGAUUUACUGGGCGUAAAGGAUGCGUAGGCGGAUUUUUAAGUGAGAUGUGAAAACCCUAAGCUUAACUUGGGGACUGCAUUUCAUACUGGAAAUCUAGAGUGCGGGAGAGGAGAAUGGAAUUCCUAGUGUAGCGGUGAAAUGCGUAGAGAUUAGGAAGAACACCAGUGGCGAAGGCGAUUCUCUGGACCGUAACUGACGCUGAGGCAUGAAAGCGUGGGUAGCAAACAGGAUUAGAUACCCUGGUAGUCCACGCCGUAAACGAUGAGUACUAGGUGUAGGAGGUAUCGACCCCUUCUGUGCCGCAGUUAACACAAUAAGUACUCCGCCUGGGAAGUACGAUCGCAAGAUUAAAACUCAAAUGAAUUGACGGGGUCAUAGCU
rnacentral:rRNA from 1 species